rnacentral:rRNA from 1 species
UUGGGCCCCCUGAGUGUAGGCUUUGCCUGCUAUCUCUUACCCAUGUCUUUUGAGUACCUUCGUUUCCUCGGCGGGUCCGCCCGCCGAUUGGACAAUUUAAACCAUUUGCAGUUGCAAUCAGCGUCUGAAAAAACUUAAUAGUUACAACUUUCAACAACGGAUCUCUUGGUUCUGGCAUCGAUGAAGAACGCAGCGAAAUGCGAUAAGUAGUGUGAAUUGCAGAAUUCAGUGAAUCAUCGAAUCUUUGAACGCACAUUGCGCCCCUUGGUAUUCCAUGGGGCAUGCCUGUUCGAGCGUCAUUUGUACCUUCAAGCUCUGCUUGGUGUUGGGUGUUUGUCUCGCCUCUGCGCGUAGACUCGCCUCAAAACAAUUGGCAGCCGGCGUAUUGAUUUCGGAGCGCAGUACAUCUCGCGCUUUGCACUCAUAACGACGACGUCCAAAAGUACAUUUUUACACUCUUGACCUCGGAUCAGGUAGGGAUACCCGCUGAACUUAAGCAUAUCAAUAAGCGGAGGAAG